rnacentral:lncRNA from 1 species
CGAAGGGGGCCUAGAAGAAUUGGAGAAAAAGAUUGACUCUCUAUCGCAUCCAGAAAUGAUGGCUCUCUUCACUUGAAAAACUAGGAAAGAUAAUGGGAGGUACAUUGCUUAUUGGAUUGCCAAAUGAACUAACCUUCGAUGAAGUGAACUCGUAGAGUGCACUGGAACAUGGCCGCGCUAUUGUUGUAAACGUUCGUCAGCACGAUGAACAAGGCACUUUGCCACGGAACUCUGAUGGACUGCAGAGAUGAAAGCCAAAAGAACAAGGCCAGGCUGUUCAAAAGCGGGUUAAGAAAACCCAUGGUAUGCAGACUGGUAUGGUAGAUGAUGAUGGUGGUAUAGUCUUGGAUGACUCACGCCAUAAUACGGACACAAGCAGUUUAUCUUUUGAUGCAGGAAGAAACCCUGAAAAAAUUUCACAUCACAGAUGAUCCCAGCAAUUAUUACCUUGCGAGAGAUGUUGAUGAAGAGAAGGAGCAUGCCCUUGAUCCUGAAGAGAAACCUCAUCAGUUUGUG